ACCCAGAGUGUUGAGUUCAGUUCUGGGUGUUCUCCCUGGUUCUGGUAAUUUAUCUUUGGUACAGGAAAUGGCUGAAAGUGAAACGAAUAACUGAAGUGGUUAUGGUUUGACCUCUUCAUCAAACAUCAGCCUACAAAG